rnacentral:lncRNA from 1 species
ACUCACCACUCACACACUGACUCACUCAGAGCAGCUUCCAGUUCUGCAAACUCCUUUCACGCUCAGGAAACACUGGACAAGCUGUUUGGGCUCUCUAGCCUUGGAUUCCUCAUUUGUAAGACAAAGAAGAUAAUCCUACCCUAUUGCCCAUGUUGGUGUGGGAAUCCACAAAGAAGGACACGGCACUGUUCCAAGUCAAGGUUACAGGGAGAAUGGAACAAGUUUCAGUAGAAGAAACUUCACCUAACCUCUUUAAUUCCAACAGUUCUUGAAUUUCCUGAAAAAUCUAUUGGUGUAUACUCAGAAAUGGAACUGUUGGAUCACAUGAUGGUUUCACAGCAGUUUCAAUGUUUUAAACGAUAGUAGUUUCACCACCUAAGAAGUUGUCUUUCAAUAAGAAGACCAAAGAGGAAGAUAUAAAAAGACUUAUUUUGGUGUAUCUCUAGGGUAUUCCCUAAGAACUGGUAUACAAUGGGUCUAGAUAUUUGAGGAAGUCUGAGUUGAUGCAUAGGCAGGUAUGGUCAAUAUGAAAUUAGGCUUAUCAGCCUGAUUUGAUUCUUACUCAGACUGGUAAGAACUGAGGAUAUAAGGGCUGAGGACAUAAAGGUCACCCCAGAUAGCCAUCUUGUGCUGAACCUGCUUUUUGGCAGGUAAGUUCUUGCCAACCCUAAUUAUUUCUGCUAACUCCCUUUGUAUUUCCAGUACCACCGUACUCAAUUAAAGAUCCAGACUCAUCUCUUACAAUAGUAAAACAUACCUAAGAUCAGGCUAUAAUGUUUACACAAGUUUAUUAUUACCUUUAGUAUUUUAUUCAAAUAAUAUCACAAAGCAUUAAAAAUUUCAGAAAUAAACCUAUAGACACACCCCUAAAACUUUAUAUGAAUAUCUCUGAGGCAAUAGGCCAUGGUUCUCUGCAGGUUAGUGGUGCAUUGUUCACUAGCUGUUAAAUUAUUCAGUGCUUACACAGUCUCCAAACCAAAUGUAUACUUUUCUUUUUUCACUCCCAUUAUCUAAGUAGUCACCAUAAAAUAGCAAUAUUUACCAAAAAUAUCUCUCAUAUCUGUUCCAUCUUCUCCAAUUCAAUAGAAUUGUCAGUGCUAAAAAAUCUACUAUUUAGCUUAAGCCUCCUUCAAUUAUUUAUUUUUCAUAAUGGGAGACACUGUAGCACAACUGUUAAAUACACAAGUUCUAGACUUAGACUGUGCGUGGUUCAAAUUAACGUCUGACUAGUGGUGUCAUCAUUGCCAAAUUACUUAAUUUCUCUGACCCAUUGCAGAAUUAACAAAAAGUACAAUAAUUAUGAUGCCUACUCCUGCAAGCAUUAAAACAAACAUGCCUAUAUACACAUAUAUGUAAAAUGUGUUUUAUAAUAUCUGGAACAAAAUGUCCAUUCAAUAAAUAUUAGCUAC